rnacentral:rRNA from 1 species
AAAUUGAAGAGUUUGAUCAUGGCUCAGAUUGAACGCUGGCGGCAGGCCUAACACAUGCAAGUCGAACGGUAACAGGAAGCAGCUUGCUGCUUUGCUGACGAGUGGCGGACGGGUGAGUAAUGUCUGGGAAACUGCCUGAUGGAGGGGGAUAACUACUGGAAACGGUGGCUAAUACCGCAUAACGUCGCAAGACCAAAGAGGGGGACCUUCGGGCCUCUUGCCAUCAGAUGUGCCCAGAUGGGAUUAGCUUGUUGGUGAGGUAACGGCUCACCAAGGCGACGAUCCCUAGCUGGUCUGAGAGGAUGACCAGCCACACUGGAACUGAGACACGGUCCAGACUCCUACGGGAGGCAGCAGUGGGGAAUAUUGCACAAUGGGCGCAAGCCUGAUGCAGCCAUGCCGCGUGUAUGAAGAAGGCCUUCGGGUUGUAAAGUACUUUCAGCGGGGAGGAAGGUGUUGUGGUUAAUAACCGCAGCAAUUGACGUUACCCGCAGAAGAAGCACCGGCUAACUCCGUGCCAGCAGCCGCGGUAAUACGGAGGGUGCAAGCGUUAAUCGGAAUUACUGGGCGUAAAGCGCACGCAGGCGGUCUGUCAAGUCGGAUGUGAAAUCCCCGGGCUCAACCUGGGAACUGCAUUCGAAACUGGCAGGCUUGAGUCUUGUAGAGGGGGGUAGAAUUCCAGGUGUAGCGGUGAAAUGCGUAGAGAUCUGGAGGAAUACCGGUGGCGAAGGCGGCCCCCUGGACAAAGACUGACGCUCAGGUGCGAAAGCGUGGGGAGCAAACAGGAUUAGAUACCCUGGUAGUCCACGCCGUAAACGAUGUCUACUUGGAGGUUGUGCCCUUGAGGCGUGGCUUCCGGAGCUAACGCGUUAAGUAGACCGCCUGGGGAGUACGGCCGCAAGGUUAAAACUCAAAUGAAUUGACGGGGGCCCGCACAAGCGGUGGAGCAUGUGGUUUAAUUCGAUGCAACGCGAAGAACCUUACCUGGUCUUGACAUCCACGGAAGAAUUCAGAGAUGGAUUUGUGCCUUCGGGAACUGUGAGACAGGUGCUGCAUGGCUGUCGUCAGCUCGUGUUGUGAAAUGUUGGGUUAAGUCCCGCAACGAGCGCAACCCUUAUCCUUUGUUGCCAGCGAUUCGGUCGGGAACUCAAAGGAGACUGCCAGUGAUAAACUGGAGGAAGGUGGGGAUGACGUCAAGUCAUCAUGGCCCUUACGACCAGGGCUACACACGUGCUACAAUGGCGCAUACAAAGAGAAGCGACCUCGCGAGAGCAAGCGGACCUCAUAAAGUGCGUCGUAGUCCGGAUUGGAGUCUGCAACUCGACUCCAUGAAGUCGGAAUCGCUAGUAAUCGUGGAUCAGAAUGCCACGGUGAAUACGUUCCCGGGCCUUGUACACACCGCCCGUCACACCAUGGGAGUGGGUUGCAAAAGAAGUAGGUAGCUUAACCUUCGGGAGGGCGCUUACCACUUUGUGAUUCAUGACUGGGGUGAAGUCGUAACAAGGUAACCGUAGGGGAACCUGCGGUUGGAUCACCUCCUUACCUGAAAGAA